CCAAAGGCUCUUUUCAGAGCCACCCCACACUUCACGGAAAUAGCUGG
rfam:Pteropus alecto contig104227, whole genome shotgun sequence.